rnacentral:tRNA from 1 species
GGAGCGGUCCUGGCUGAAUGGUUACGAUGUUCGCUUUAAAAGCGAAUGGUCCUGGGAUCAAUACCCAUCUGCUCCC